rnacentral:rRNA from 1 species
GACGAACGCUGGCGGCGUGCUUAACACAUGCAAGUCGAACGGAAAGGCCCUGCUUUUGUGGGGUGCUCGAGUGGCGAACGGGUGAGUAACACGUGAGUAACCUGCCCUUGACUUUGGGAUAACUUCAGGAAACUGGGGCUAAUACCGGAUAGGAGCUCCUGCUGCAUGGUGGGGGUUGGAAAGUUUCGGCGGUUGGGGAUGGACUCGCGGCGUAUCAGCUUGUUGGUGGGGUAGUGGCUUACCAAGGCUUUGACGGGUAGCCGGCCUGAGAGGGUGACCGGCCACAUUGGGACUGAGAUACGGCCCAGACUCCUACGGGAGGCAGCAGUGGGGAAUAUUGCACAAUGGGCGGAAGCCUGAUGCAGCAACGCCGCGUGCGGGAUGACGGCCUUCGGGUUGUAAACCGCUUUCGCCUGUGACGAAGCGUGAGUGACGGUAAUGGGUAAAGAAGCACCGGCUAACUACGU